rnacentral:rRNA from 1 species
GAUGAACGCUGGCGGCGUGCCUAAUACAUGCAAGUCGAGCGAACAGACGAGGAGCUUGCUCCUCUGACGUUAGCGGCGGACGGGUGAGUAACACGUGGAUAACCUACCUAUAAGACUGGGAUAACUUCGGGAAACCGGAGCUAAUACCGGAUAAUAUAUUGAACCGCAUGGUUCAAUAGUGAAAGACGGUUUUGCUGUCACUUAUAGAUGGAUCCGCGCCGCAUUAGCUAGUUGGUAAGGUAACGGCUUACCAAGGCGACGAUGCGUAGCCGACCUGAGAGGGUGAUCGGCCAGACGGGAACUGAGACACGGUCCAGACUCCGACGGUAGGCAGCAGUAGGGAAUCUUCCGCAAUGGGGGAGAGCCUGACGGAGCAAAGCCGGGUGAGUGAUGAAGGUCUUCGGAUCGUAAAGCUCUGUUAUUAGGGAAGAACAAAUGUGUAAGUAACUAUGCACGUCUUGACGGUACCUAGUCAGAAAGCCACGGCUAACUACGUG